rnacentral:rRNA from 1 species
ACCAGACUCCUACGGGAGGCAGCAGUGGGGGAUAUUGCACAAUGGGGGGAACCCUGAUGCAGCGACGCCGCGUGGGUGAAGGAGUGCUUCGGCAUGUAAAGCCCUAUCGGCAGGGAAGAAGGAAGACGGUACCUGACUAAGAAGCCCCGGCUAACUACGUGCCAGCAGCCGCGGUAAUACGUAGGGGGCAAGCGUUAUCCGGAUUUACUGGGUGUAAAGGGGGCGCAGACGGCGAUGCAAGCCAGGAGUGAAAGCCCGGGGCCCAACCCCGGGACUGCUCUUGGAACUGCGUGGCUGGAGUGUCGGAGAGGCAGGCGGAAUUCCUAGUGUAGCGGUGAAAUGCGUAGAUAUUAGGAGGAACACCAGUGGCGAAGGCGGCCUGCUGGACGAUGACUGACGUUGAGGCUCGAAAGCGUGGGGAGCAAACAGGAUUAGAUACCCCAGUA